rnacentral:rRNA from 1 species
UGAACGCUAGCGGCAGGCCUAAUACAUGCAAGUCGAGGGACAGCGGGAGUAGCAAUACUUGCCGGCGACCGGCGCACGGGUGCGUAACACGUAUACAAUCUGCCUUUUACUGGGGAAUAGCUCGGAGAAAUCCGGAUUAAUACCCCAUAACAGCGGGGAUGGCAUCAUCCCUUCUUGAAAGCUCCGGCGGUAAAAGAUGAGUAUGCGGCUGAUUAGCUUGUUGGUGAGGUAACGGCUCACCAAGGCAACGAUCAGUAGGGGAUCUGAGAGGACUACCCCCCACACUGGUACUGAGACACGGACCAGACUCCUACGGGAGGCAGCAGUAAGGAAUAUUGGACAAUGCCCGCAAGGGUGAUCCUGCCAUGCCGCGUGCAGGAAGACGGACCUAUGGUUUGUAAACUGCUUUUGAACAAGAGAAAACCCUCCUACGUGUAGGAGGCUGAUAGUAUUGUUAGAAUAAGCAUCGGCUAACUUCGUGCCAGGAG